UCUCCAUUACCUACGGAGGCAGAAGGAAAGGGCUCAAGCCCUCUUGGCGUCAUGUCUUCAGUGCCAGUGACUUCUACUUGCCAGCUCUG
rnacentral:snoRNA from 1 species